rnacentral:lncRNA from 1 species
AUGAGAAGAGCCGCCAGCUCCACGGAGGAGGGGAGGUUUCAUGUCCUCUGUGAUUGCAGCCCUCGGCUCCAGCAUUGGAAGCACAGCAGAAAAUCAGAUUUUUGGUCUGGAUCCAAAACAGAAAUAUGACACCCCAUAUACGGUCAGUGUGUAUGUGUUUCUCUAAAAGAAUCACUUAACCUAAUUUUCUGAGCAUCAACUCCAAAUGCCAUGUAGACCAAGUGGAAAAAAAAAAAAUUCACCCAAGUACAAAGGGGAGCUCUUGCUCUUCACCUUAAACAGCCCAUGAAGCUUUUUAGCAAUUGACGGGUUCCUCUCCCUCUCGCUGCUCUGUUCUCUAAGCCCGCAGGAAGGAAGAUCUCCUGGAAAAAUGUCCUUGUGGUGUUAGGGCGAGGACGGUGGGGUCAUGGGGAUGUGAGCCUCGGCUGACAACUCAGGAGAAAGGGACACUUGUCGGUGGCCUCUGAGGACCGCUCCCAGGCACUGCUAAAGAUCACAGGGUCUGGGAUAGGGUAGGGGUCCAGGCAGCUGCAAACGCCUGCACAUCAU